rnacentral:rRNA from 1 species
GAUGAACGCUGGCGGCGUGCCUAAUACAUGCAAGUCGAGCGAACAGACGAGGAGCUUGCUCCUCUGACGUUAGCGGCGGACGGGUGAGUAACACGUGGAUAACCUACCUAUAAGACUGGGAUAACUUCGGGAAACCGGAGCUAAUACCGGAUAAUAUAUUUAACCGCAUGGUUCAAUAGUGAAAGACGGUUUUGCUGUCACUUAUAGAUGGAUCCGCGCCGCAUUAGCUAGUUGGUAAGGUAACGGCUUACCAAGGCAACGAUGCGUAGCCGACCUGAGAGGGUGAUCGGACACACUGGAACUGAGACAGGGUCCAGACUACUACGGGAGGCAGCAGUAGGGAAUCUUACGCAGUGGGCGAAAGCCUGACAGAGCAACGCCGCGUGAGUGAUGAAGGUCUUCGGAUCGUAAAACUCUGUUAUUAGGGAAGAACAAAUGUGUAAGUAACUAUGCACGGCUUGACGGUACCUAAUCAGAAAGCCACGGCUAACUACGUG